ACCCUUGUAAGCUACUUGCCUACUGCCCCAAAUCACCUACCUUCAACAAGGAUGUCAUAUUAUUACCCAAUUCCACAUGGGAUGAAGUUUGCAAACACAAAACAAAACGAAGACUUCAUGAAAGUGGCUAUAUUUUAAGUGCCUUUGAAAUGAGGAAAAUGUGGGACUGCAGGACGGUCAUUGCAGAGAUAAGAGAAGCAUUCAAGGACAAAAUUCCUGAGAAUGUCAGUAUUGAACUUUUGAUGACCUGUGGAAACAAACUAGUUUCCCCAAAGUUGCGUGAAGGCCAGGAACUGAAUGCCUUUAUGAUUCACAAGGUAUUCAAAUCAAAGGUGGUAUACAUUAGGCCAUCAAGAAAUCUUCCA